rnacentral:rRNA from 1 species
CCUACGGGAGGCAGCAGUGAGGAAUAUUGGUCAAUGGGCGAGAGCCUGAACCAGCCAAGUAGCGUGAAGGAUGACUGCCCUACGGGUUGUAAACUUCUUUUAUAAAGGAAUAAAGUGAGGUACGCGUGCCUUUUUGUAUGUACUAUAUGAAUAAGGAUCGGCUAACUCCGUGCCAGCAGCCGCGGUAAUACGGAGGAUCCGAGCGUGAUCCGGAUUUAUUGGGUUUAAAGGGAGCGUAGGUGGGUUGUUAAGUCAGUUGUGAAAGUUUGCGGCUCAACCGUAAAAUUGCAAUUGAAACUGGCUGUCUUGAGUACAGUAGAGGUAGGCGGAAUUCGUGGUGUAGCGGUGAAAUGCUUAGAUAUCACGAAGAACUCCGAUUGCGAAGGCAGCUUACUAAACUGCCACUGACAUUGAUGCUCGAAAGUGUGGGUAUCAAACAGGAUUAGAUACCCCAGUAGUC